rnacentral:rRNA from 1 species
GCCUAACAGCUAGCCUCCCUAAAAUCCCUAACACACCCCUAUCAAUAUCCCCUCACGCAUUACCAUAAUAAAUUAAACCAUUUUUCCCCCUCAGUAUGGGAGACAGAAAAGGAACCCAGAGCAACAGAGAAAGUACCGCAAGGGAACGCUGAAAAAGAAAUGAAAUAACCCAACAUAAGCAUAAAAAAGCAGAGGCUUAGGCUCUUACCUUUUGCAUCAUGAUUUAGCCAGAAACCCUUAAGCAAAAAGAACUGUAGUUUAAGCCCCCGAAACUGAGUGAGCUACUCCAAGCCAGCCUGAUUUUAGGGCACACCCGUCUCUGUGGCAAAAGAGUGGGAGGAGCUUUGAGUAGCGGUGACAGACCUAUCGAACUCAGCUAUAGCUGGUUGUCCGGGAACCGAAUAGGAGUUCAACCUUUCCAUAGUCUCUACUCGAUUGCCCUAUACGCACCUUUCCCCCUUCUCCGGGGGACCCCUUAGAGCCAAAGACAUGUUAAGAGUCAUUCAAAAGGGGUACAGCCCUUUUGAGACAAGAAACAACUUUAACAGAAGGUUAAAGAUCACAAUUAAUUAAGGUUGACUGACCAAAGUGGGCUUAAAAGCAGCCACCUUAAAAGAAAGCGUUAAAGCUCAGACACCCUUGCACCCCAAUAAUUCAGAUAACUAAUCUUAAGCCUCUAUCUUUACCGGACCGUUCCAUCCCCCUAUGGAAGCGAUAAUGCUAAAAUAAGUAAUAAGAGGGUACUCGCCCCUCUCUCCGCACUCGUGUAAUUCGGAUCGAACCACGCACCGAAAAUUAACGGCCCCAAACAAAGAGGGCACUGAGAAACAAAAAAGCCAGCGGGAAAACCACCCAACAGUACACCGUUAUCCCCACACAGGAGCGCCCACAGAGAAAGACUAAAAGAAAAAAAAGGAACUCGGCAAACCCCUUAGCCUCGCCUGUUUACCAAAAACAUCGCCUCUUGUCCAUCUCAAAUAAGAGGUCCCGCCUGCCCAGUGACCAUGAGUUCAACGGCCGCGGUAUUUUAACCGUGCAAAGGUAGCGCAAUCACUUGUUCUUUAAAUGAGGACCUGUAUGAAUGGCUAGACGAGGGCUAGACUGUCUCUUUUCUUCGGUCAAUGAAAUUGAUCUCCCCGUGCAGAAGCGGGGAUACCCGCAUAAGACGAGAAGACCCUGUGGAGCUUUAGACACUAGAGACAGACCCUGUUAAGCCCCCCGGCCAAGGGGAUAAACUUAGGGGCCCCUUCUCCCAUGUCUUCGGUUGGGGCGACCACGGGGAAAAAAAUAACCCCCACGUGGACAAAGAACAUUGACUUCUCACACCAGAGAGCCGCCGCUCAAGCUCACAGAACCUCUGACCUAAGGAUCCGGCAACGCCGAUCAACGAACCAAGUUACCCCAGGGAUAACAGCGCAAUCCUCUUUUAGAGGCCUUAUCGACAAGAGGGUUUACGACCUCGAUGUUGGAUCAGGACAUCCUAAUGGUGCAGCCGCUAUUAAGGGUUCGUUUGUUCAACGAUUAAAGUCCUACGUGAUCUGAGUUCAGACCGGAGCAAUCCAGGUCAGUUUCUAUCUAUGAAACAUUCUUUUCCAGUACGAAAGGACCGAAAAGAAGGGGCCCCUGCUUUAGGCACGCCCCACCCUUACCUGAUGAAAAAAGCUAAAUCAGGUAAAAGGGGGGCCCCACCCGCCUUAGAGAAAGGCA